AUUGAACGCUGGCGGCAUGCUUUAUACAUGCAAGUCGUGCGGCAGCGCGGGGGCAACUCUGGCGGCGAGCGGCGAACGGGUGAGUAAUACAUAGGAACGUAUCCUGAAAUGGGGGAUAGCUCGGCGAAAGCCGGAUUAAUACCGCAUACGCUCCACGGAGGAAAGCAGGGGAUCGCAAGACCUUGCGUUUCUGGAGCGGCCGUAUGUCUGAUUAGCUAGUGGCGGGGUAAUAGCCCACCAAGGCGACGAUCAGUAGCUGGUCUGAGAGGAUGAUCAGCCACACUGGGACUGAGACACGGCCCAGACUCCUACGGGAGGCAGCAGUAGGGAAUUUUGGACAAGUGGGGCAACCCUGAUCCAGCCAUGCCGCGUGAGU
rnacentral:rRNA from 1 species